rnacentral:rRNA from 1 species
GUCCACUGCUGUAAACGAUGAGUGCUAGACGUUGGAGGGCUUGCCCUUCGGUGUCGCCGCUAACGCUUUAAGCACUCCGCCUGGGAAGUACGGCCGCAAGGUUAAAACUCAAAGGAAUUGACGGGGGCCCGCACAAGCGGUGGAGCAUGUGGUUUAAUUCGACGCAACGCGCAGAACCUUACCAGCCCUUGACAUGGGGAGGUUUGGAUCGCAGAGAUGUGAUCCUUCAGUUCGGCUGGCUCCCACACAGGUGCUGCAUGGCUGUCGU